rnacentral:rRNA from 1 species
GGGCCCGCACAAGCGGUGGAGCAUGUGGUUUAAUUCGAUGCAACGCGAAGAACCUUACCAGGGCUUGACAUACUACAGAUCUUUUUGAGAAAGAAGAGUGCCUUCGGGAAUGUAGAUACAGGUGGUGCAUGGCUGUCGUCAGCUCGUGUCGUGAGAUGUUGGGUUAAGUCCCGCAACGAGCGCAACCCUUAUUUUUAGUUACCAACUUGUUGGGUUCUCUAGAAAGACUGCCGGUGACAAACCGGAGGAAGGUGAGGAUGACGUCAAGUCAGCAUGCCCCUUAUGUCCUGGGCUACACACGUGCUACAAUGGCUAAGACAAAGAGUUGCGAGUUCGUGAGAACCAGCUAAUCUCGUAAACUUAGCCUAAGUUCAGAUUGUAGGCUGCAACUCGCCUACAUGAAGUUGGAAUCGCUAGUAAUCG